rnacentral:rRNA from 1 species
GGCGCACGGGUGAGUAACACGUAGGUAAUCUCCCCUCGAGUGGUGGAUAACCUUCCGAAAGGAGGGCUAAUACAGCAUAAGACCACGGCUUCGAAAGAAGCUGCGAUUAAAGCGGAGGAUCGCAAGACUUCGCGCUUGAGGAUGAGCCUGCGGCCAUCAGGUAGUUGGCGGGGUAAUGGCCCACCAAGCCUUAGACGGGUAGCUGGUCUGAGAGGAUGAUCAGCCACACUGGAACUGAGACACGGUCCAGACUCCUACGGGAGGCAGCAGUGGGGAAUCUUGCGCAAUGGACGAAAGUCUGACGCAGCGACGCCGCGCGGGUGAUGAAGGCCUUCGGGUUGUAAAGCCCUGUGGGGAGGGACGAAUAAGUUGCGGUUAAUACCCGCAGCGAUGACGGUACCUCCUUAGCAAGCACCGGCUAACUCUGUGCCAGCCGCCGCGG